GGCCGGUUAGCUCAGUUGGUUAGAGCGUGGUGCUAAUAACGCCAAGGUCGCGGGUUCGAUCCCGCACGGGCCA
rnacentral:tRNA from 1 species